UACCAGCACCCCGAGUGGUCGGGACGUUUAUUGGGCCUAAAGCAUCCGUAGCCGGUUCUGCAAGUCUUCCGUUAAAUCCACCUGCUUAACAGAUGGGCCGCGGAAGAUACUAUAGAGCUAGGAGGCGGGAGAGGCAAGCGGUACUCGAUGGGUAGGGGUAAAAUCCGUUGAUCCAUUGAAGACCACCAGUGGCGAAGGCGGCUCACUGGCCCGAUACUGACGCUGGAGGCACGAAAGCGUGGGGAGCAAACAGG
rnacentral:rRNA from 1 species